rnacentral:lncRNA from 1 species
GUUAAGGAAAAGUGCAACGCCAAAGAGGACGCCAACGCAGAGGGCGAGGAUGAAGGGCCGCCGGCGGCCCCAGCUCAGGGUGCACCGGUCACUCGCAGACCCAAUGAGAGGUGUGAAGAUGAGGCCAAGGAUGGGGCUCAGGAACCAGAAACCCGCGUGUCCAUCACCAACCAGGCGGGCAAACAGUGUCGGCAGUCACAAGCACCACAGCACGGGAACGAGCGGCCGCCUUGUGCAGCCGUGAGCACGAGCCCACUCACAGCGCUGAGCGAAGCAGCCACACAGAUGACCACGCACCUCUGACGCCUGUCGUGUGAUGUCCAAAGGCGCGGAAAGGACCCUCCACUGUGAGAACUUGGGUGCCGGUUGCCCUUGGCAGGGGGCAGGGGGCAGUGGCUGAAGCGGGGUCGGGUGUCUGUUCUUGAUCUGGAUGGGAGUCCCACGCUCCAGUCACGCGGUGCCAAUUCAUCCCACAGGGGACUUGAGAUCUGUGCCCUCUCCCCAUACUAUACGUCAGUAAAACACUUCCUUACGAAAUAAAGGUGCUUGGCACGCCAGCGGCUCAUCUGGCUAACAUUGUACACUGCCAAAAGCCAUUGAGAAUAUUGUGUUGAGCUAGCAAGAAAAAUAAACUUGUGUGGGAG